rnacentral:lncRNA from 1 species
ACUCUGAUGCACUUAAUUUGGAGGCCUCCAUCUCUGCUCUGAUUUCAGCAUUCUCAGUCUCUAAUCUUCUCACAGCUCCAUUUGCACGGUCCACUUGACCACUAGCCUUUCUCAAAGCAUUCUCCAUCUCCGAGAGUCUCUUCAUAGUUGUGUCCUCAAGUGCCUGUUUCCCUUUCUUCAAUUUCUGGUCUCCUCUCUAUCCAUCCAUAAUGUUUUGAGCUCAGUCAAAUCACUGCUUAGCUUCUUU